rnacentral:rRNA from 1 species
AUUGAACGCUGGCGGCAUGCCUUACACAUGCAAGUCGAACGGUAACGGGCCUUCGGGUGCCGACGAGUGGCGAACGGGUGAGUAAUGUAUCGGAACGUACCUUUCAGUGGGGGAUAACGUAGCGAAAGUUACGCUAAUACCGCAUAUUCUGUGCGCAGGAGAGCAGGGGACCUUCGGGCCUUGCGCUGAUUGAGCGGCCGAUAUCAGAUUAGCUAGUUGGUGAGGUAAAGGCUCACCAAGGCGACGAUCUGUAGCGGGUCUGAGAGGAUGAUCCGCCACACUGGAACUGAGACACGGUCCAGACUCCUACGGGAGGCAGCAGUGGGGAAUUUUGGACAAUGGGGGCAACCCUGAUCCAGCCAUGCCGCGUGAGUGAAGAAGGCCUUCGGGUUGUAAAGCUCUUUCGGCCGGGAAGAAAUCGUAUCAGCUAAUACCUGGUGCGGAUGACGGUACCGGCAUAAGAAGCACCGGCUAACUACGUGCCAGCCGCCGCCGUAAUAC